UACAGAGGGUGCGAGCGUUGUUCGGAAUUACUGGGCGUAAAGCGCACGUAGGCGGCUUGUUAAGUCAGGGGUGAAAUCCUGGAGCUCAACUCCAGAACUGCCUUUGAUACUGGCGAGCUUGAGUUCGGGAGAGGUGAGUGGAACUGCGAGUGUAGAGGUGAAAUUCGUAGAUAUUCGCAAGAACACCAGUGGCGAAGGCGGCUCACUGGCCCGAUACUGACGCUGAGGUGCGAAAGCGUGGGGAGCAAACAGG
rnacentral:rRNA from 1 species